rnacentral:rRNA from 1 species
UGCCUAACACAUGCAAGUCGAACGAUCUUUGAUUAUAGCAAUAUUAUUAAAGAGGAGUGGCGAACGGGUGAGUAACACGUAGAUAAUCUGCCUUCAGACGGGGACAACUCAGGGAAACUUGUGCUAAUACCCGAUGAGACCACAAGAAGGGAUUUUUGUGGCCAAAGGCGGGCAGCAAUGCUCGUGCUGAAAGAUGAGUCUGCGUCCUAUCAGCUAGUUGGUGGGGUAAAUGCCUACCAAGGCUAAGACGGGUAGCCGGCCUGAGAGGGUGAACGGCCACACUGGGACUGAGACACGGCCCAGACUCCUACGGGAGGCAGCAGUGAGGAAUUUUCCGCAAUGGGCGCAAGCCUGACGGAGCGACGCCGCGUGAGGGAUUGACAGCUUUCGGGUUGUAAACCUCUUUUAUUAAGGAAAAAGAUCUAUAUGCUAAUAUCAUGUAGAUUUGAUGGUACUUAUUGAAUAAGCCCCGGCUAACUACGUGCCAGCAGCCGC